UGGGCCGUAGCGCAGAGGUCGUCGCGCGCCGACUCAUAAUCGGUGAGGACGCCGGUUCGAUUCCGGCCGGCCCAC
rnacentral:tRNA from 1 species